GUACUUCCUAAGUACAUAUACUAAAAUUGGAACGAUACAGAGAUGAUUAGCAUGGCCCCUGCGCAAGGAUGACACGCAAAAUCGUGAAGCGUUCCACAUUUUU
rnacentral:snRNA from 1 species